CGGUAACCUUUGUCCAAUCGUUGAAUUAUUUUUUGAGCGUAUUCGGUUGUUUCGCCUGUCCAAAUGGGCGUGUCAGGGUCAAAGAACGACGACAGCUCUCGGCCGAGGAAUAAAAAUGCCGGCGUAAACCCAGUGGUCUCGUUCACCGUCGUUUUCAAAGUAUAAGAAAUGGCACUUAGAUGCUCGCACCAGUCUCUGUGGAUGGCCUGCUAACACAUGAUUGUGUUCCAUCAUUAAGACGGAACGUCUCAAAUGCGCUGGGACUACUAUUGUGGACGUUUGCUGCCCUCUGUUCAUCAACACCCCUUCAUCAGUGAUAUAAUACCGCUUGUUCCUGGACCCACUGGUCCGGAGUUGCUGGGAAGGUCUCCUGUUCUUCUAACUGGCUCACCAAAAUAGCAAUCUUCGCUGCUGUGCUGAGUUCUUUUCUAGAAGGACUCUGUGUCUGUUUUGCGUUUCUGUUGAAAAGGUCCUGCAACCACUCCUGGUUUUGAGAGUUGGGCUUCCUCUGCCUUGUUGGUAACGUUUGCACCGGUGCUCGCGCUUGGAUCUCCUGAAUGAUUAAUUCGUCAGCGCAUCUGUGACAGGCAUGGCGCGGUGGCCCUGCAUUUGUGACUCCGAACUGCAGUCGCUCUUCCACUGGCUCGUGUACUGUAUGUCCAAGUACGUCAACCUCCUCGGCUGCGAACUUCACUUUCUUGGGGUUCAGCGUAAAGCCGACUUCCCAGAGGACUCCGAGGACUUCUGCCACAUGACGUGGGUGCAGUUCUUCCCGUAUUGAAGCUACAAUUAUAUCGUCCAAGAAAGUUAUCACCACUCCUGUGAUGUCCUCAUCCUCUAGUAUUGACUGAUUGGCACAAAUGGAAUGACCUUCUCCGGACUGUCAACAAAAAACCAACCAUUGGCUGUCACGCCCACUUUUGCCUGUGCCAUGAAGUCAAGUCCGAGUAUAAUCUGG